rnacentral:rRNA from 1 species
UACCUUUUGCAUCAUGAUUUAGCCAGAAAAUCUCAAGCAAAGAGCACUUUAGUUUGAUUCCCCGAAACUACGUGAGCUACUCCAAGACAGCCUAACAUAGGGCAAACCCGUCUCUGUGGCAAAAGAGUGGGAAGAGCUUUGAGUAGAGGUGACAGACCUACCGAACCUAGUUAUAGCUGGUUGCCUGAGAAAUGAAUAGAAGUUCAGCCUAUCGGAUUCUUCCCUCACCUUAAUAAUUUUUACAACAACCAAAAGAAACCGAAAGAGUUAGUCAAAGGGGGUACAGCCCCUUUGACACAAGACACAACUUUUCCAGGAGGGUAAAGAUCAUACUCAAACACCAAGGUAAGAUGUUUUGGUGGGCCUAAAAGCAGCCACCCCUACAGAAUGCGUUAAAGCUCAAACAUACCUACCACCCAUAAUCCUGACAACCCUAUCUUAACCCCCUAACCCUACCAGGCCAUCCCAUGCAAACAUGGGAGUGACCAUGCUAAUAUGAGUAAUAAGAGAGCAUUAGCCUCUCUCCCUGCACAAG